rnacentral:rRNA from 1 species
UAUUUAUUUAUAUUAAAAAUAAUUAUAAAAUAAUAUGUUUUAGUAAUUUUAUUGAAAUAAUAAUUUUUAUAAUAGUAUACUUGUAUUGUGAAAGAUUAUUGAAAUAUUUUGAAAAAUUUUUAUAAGAAAAGAAAAAUUAAUUAUUUGUACCUUGUGUAUCAGGGUUUAUUAAAUAAUUAAUAAAAAUAUUUAUUAAUCUCGAUUUUAUAAGAGUUAAUAAUUUAAUAAAGUUAAUGUAUUAAAAUUAUUUUUUAUAAAUUAUUAGAAAUGAAAUGUUAUUCGUUUAUAAAGGUAUCUAGUUUUUUUAGAAAUAAAUUAAAUUUAUAAAUUUUUGAUUUUAUUAAUUAUUUUAUUAAUUAAUAAAUUUAUUAAUUUUAAUAUUUAAAGGGAUAAGCUUUUAAAUAAAUUAUUAUAAAUUUAAUUAAAUAAUUAUUUAAAAUAUAUGCAUAAAAUUAGCAAUUAUUGUAAAAUUUGUUAUAAAUUAUUUUAUUUAUAUAUAUAUAUUAUUUAUUUAUUUUUUAAUUUAAUUUUAUAAAAAUAUUUUUUUUAAUUUAAAUUAAAAAGAAAUAAUGAUAAAAUUAGUAUAUAUAUAUGUAGAAAUAAUUAUAUUUGAUAAGUUUAUAUAAAGAACUCGGCAAAUAUUUUACUCGCCUGUUUAACAAAAACAUGUCUUUUUGAGUUAUUUUUAAAGUCUAACCUGCCCAAUGAAUAAUUUUUAAUGGCCGCAGUAAUUUGACUGUGCAAAGGUAGCAUAAUAAUUAGUCUUUUAAUUGAAGGCUUGUAUGAAUGGUUGGACGAAGUAUAAUCUGUUUCAUUUAAAUUUAUUAUAGAAUUUUAUAUUUUAGUAAAAAAGCUAAAAUUUUUUUAAAAGACGAGAAGACCCUAUAAAUCUUUAUAAUUUAAUAAUUAUUUUUUUUUUUGAUUUAUUUUAAUUUUAAUAAUUUAGAUUAUUUUAUUGGGGUGAUAUUAAAAUUUAAAUAACUUUUAAUUUUUUUUUACAUUAAUUUAUGAUUUAUUGAUCCAUUAAUAAUGAUUAUAAGAAUAAGUUACUUUAGGGAUAACAGCGUAAUUUUUUUGGAGAGUUCUUAUUGAUAAAAAAGUUUGCGACCUCGAUGUUGGAUUAAGAUAUAAUUUUAGGUGUAGUUGCUUGAAUAAUAAGUCUGUUCGACUUUUAAAUUCUUACAUGAUCUGAGUUCAGACCGGCGUAAGCCAGGUUGGUUUCUAUCUUUAAUAAAUUAUUAUAUCUUAGUACGAAAGGACCAGAUAUAAAAAUAAUUAUAUUUAUUUAUAGAUGAUU